AAUCUAAUAUAAGCUUUAAGAUUAAAAGUUUGGAUAUUUCACAAAUUUGAGGGAAAAUUCAUGUAUCUCUAGUAAAUAAUUUUGUUAAUUUUACAUGGGUAAGCUUACAAAAAUUCAAUUUUGGGGGUUCAAUUAAACACACUAACUUCCAUUGGAUACUCCACUUAUUUGUAUGGCGUAAAUUUUUUAUAUUUUUUGGCCUCUUAACUCUUUGUGACAGAGCAUAUGUCCUGAAAAAUGAGUAUGUUUAUUCAAACUUAGAGCUGAAUUUAUGUUGUUGGUUUUAUGGAUACAAAUUAUGCGGAUUCUUAGUGUGAUGAUGGUGGAGAUUGUCUUGAGCAUGUUUACUUGAUUCAUAGUACGUUUAGGUAGCGGACAAUAAGUAUUAGUAUUGCGUAGUUGUGUUCAUGAUGUAGCUCAUGGGAAUUUUGUCCAAUGGGGUUUUAGACAUUACUGAUAUGCUCCCUUUAGCAUAAAAGUUACUUCUAUGUACUUUACUAGGAAGUAAGGUUAGUCAAAAUACGCGUUGGAAGGGAGUAGCAAAUGCUUUAUCUGAGUUUUAUAGUACAAACUCUAACUUCUACAUAGUAAUAAUAUGUGUAAGGUAUGAUUUCUCAAUGACUUGGCUUCUUGGCCUUUGGUGAAGGAGUUCACUGAGUUUUUGAAGACUAGGAUAUUGUGAAUUGGUAUGAGAAUUAGACUUCUUAUAUAAAAAACAUUUUGACAUGAGAAGACUAGGAAAUGACUAAGUUAGGAGUAUCAACUGAAAAGAAACUAGAAAAGGUCCUACUAUUUUAAGAAAAUAAAGGUAGCACACAUACUAGUAAAAGUUUUAGACAUAUAAUUCAACAAAUGACACCUAAACACAUAGGCUACUAGUAAGUACUGUAGUAAUUAUACUGACCUAAUGGAAACAGGUAGUUGAUCAACCAGACACCACCCACCAUACACAAUGCUGGAUCAAAGGUUCUGAGAGUAGUCGAAGCUCAGAGGCUGCUGACAGAAAGGAGCCUGGAAAACAGAAUGCCUGAAUUGCUCAUAAGAGUGUGCAUACAUCAUAGCAAGACUAGGCCACCGCAUAUAUAGAACAUCUCUUGAAGCUUGAUUCAAUCCCAUUGCGCAAUAAGGACUCAUGCUUGGAUCUGAUGGGCCAUAGUUGAUGGAAGUUUGCGCUCUGGGGAUCUGACCCAUCUGAGGAAAAGCAGAAGCAUCAUACUACUCGAGGCUGAAACUUUGGGCAUGCUGAAAGGAGGCAAAAACAUUUGGCCAGUAGGAAAGCUUUUAACAUACCUUACAUAACUACGAUCAUAGUCCGGAUCAGAUCGGUCUUUUUCUCUAUCUUUGAAGAUAGCAACAACUCGAGAAGAAGUUCCUACAUAAUUGACAAUGAUAUUCUUCUCCGGAUCAUUAAUGAAAUUAUAGCAUCCACCAUUUUCCUCCUUGCUUGGACACAAAUACACAAUCCUCUUUUUUCUACUGAGAUCUGAGGCAUCGUCUCAUCUGCCAUAGGAGUUAGGACUGUUUGGGCUGCUAAAGAUGCAAGCGCUUGCCUUAUCAUACUCCUCCUUCCUCUCUUCUACACUCCUUACCGAGUUCCGUUUAAGACCCAUGUCAGUUCCAUCACCAGAAGAUGUCCUAUAAGGCCUACGUCUGAUAGCAAUUUUGACCAGCUCCUGUUUGCUAUUUUCUGACUGUCUAGCAGGUAUAUCUGAUAAGAAAACAGAUGGGUACUUGCUCUCCGCUGUUUUCAUAACCAUUAUUUGUAUGAAAUUUGUGGGUGGUAAUUGUAGGCAUACAGGAAAUAUAGGAAAAACCCAGUUACCGGAGCGCCGCUUAAGCUUGGGGAUCUUAUUCCUCUUGCAUUUCACAAGAAUUCUGAAGGGGAAUUCCAUUGCCCAGUUUUGAACAAGUUUCACUGAAUUCACUCACAUAGUUGCUGUCAAGACUACUGGAAAUGUAUUUUGUUACGAGGUGAAUAAUGAACCAACUGAAGGAGAUCAAGCGUAGACGUUUCACUAUACAUACUAUCGGCCAAAUUUAGCUAGCUAUACUGUAGUGAUGCAAUACUUGGUAGUUAAAAGGAAAAUGAUCUAUAUGUACUUAUUAGAAGUAUUUGUGGUACUAAAACAAAUAUUUAUUAGUGGGGUUUGAUUAAGUAUAUUAAUUUUUGUUAAUUAGGAUUUGUCAUUUAUACUCUUCAUUUAAUUAGUUUUGGAAAUUAUAAUACAGAUAUGACAAUUAUUUUUGGCA